GAGUCUUUGAAUAAAGGAAAGAAAUCCAGAAAAGCAUCAUCAUCAAAGCUCAUGUCCCCUCCAGCUCUGUGAUGAGCUGAUCAUCUGUAAACGAUCCCGGGAGGUCCUCGCUGUCCUUCAGGACGUGCUGAGUGCUAAUGAAGAGGAGGGAGCGGAGGAACCUUUUAAAAACUGAAGGUCACUUCUAACAAAGCAGCGCUUUGACCAGAGAAACAAAUCUCACCCUGACUGUGUGCGAAGGUUCAGCUGCUGCGUGUUCCCGGGAGAAAAAGGCCACAACUUCAGAAACAUGUUUUGUAGUUUUACUGUCUUUGGAGCACGCGUGUUUCACACAAAGUCACAUCUGGACAAUAUCAGGUACAGGUAGACUGCUUCACGUUAACGUUGGACAGAAGGUGUUUUUAGUGCAGGAAGCACUAACCUCAACUUCUUGUUCACUUCCUGUGAUGGAACCAAGCGUCUGUGUUUGGAUCGUGUCAGCGAUGAGGAGCUAGCAACGCCAUCCAAGCCACGACUGCAGACUCUCCUGGGACUGGCGCAUGCCUGCUGCUACCAUCACAUGAUCGACAUGAUUGACAGCCACGCUGCCAAAGUGGUCGCAAGAAAAAUUAGUUUUGAUUUAAAGGCUUUGUUGGAAGCACAGGUGGGUGAUGGUCGCUGAUGGUGAGAGGUCUUGGUGCUUAACUUCCUGUUUGGGUUUUUUAUUCUAGUGUUUGAAGCUUUGAAAGAUUUCGUUAUUAUUCUAACGCUGACUCUGAUUUCGUGUCAUAUCGUUGAGAUCCUGCUUCUGUUUGACUCUGUGGUUUUCUGAUUGGCUGUCGUGCGAUCCUGUGUUUUGGUUCAUGUCUCCAUUAUUGUUUCACUUUGUGGUUUCUACUGAGAAGUUGUUGUUUUUAUUUACUGGACUUGGUGCCUCCUUGUCUCUCACAUCUUGUUGAGCGUUCAUGUCAGUGUUUGUGAUGGUCUGCUCCUCCCUGAUUGGUUCACCUGCUGGUCAUUACUUCCUCACUUGUCCCACUGCAAAUUUUGGGAACAUAUUUAAUCUCUGAGAUAUCUCAACAUAGUGAAAUACAACUUUUUGGGCUUCAGUUAAAGAAACAAACGUGUAAAAUGACACAUAAUGUUGUUUAAACCUCGUGUUUCUCUCGUCUUUGUUGCGUUUCCAUAUCUCAGCUUCGAUUAUCAAAGCAGUUCUUUGGACUUUUAUAUCUGGUGCUGUGGAUUUAUUGUGUUUGCCUUGGUAGUAUUACGACAGAAAUGUUUCCAGUAAUGUUUUUAUCUAAAUAUUUAUAUAGAAUAUGUAUAUUCUGUAUUUCUUUAAAGUAUAUAAAAUAAUAUUUGAAAUAUGGAAAAAUUGG
ensembl:lncRNA